UUUUUAAAUGAAGUGCAUCAUGUUCCCAUUUGCACUUAAAGUUCACAUUUGGUGCCAGGCUGUAUCGCUUCCUCUCACUGGUGAGUGGCACCUGUGUCUCCUUUCUGCCAGUCCAGCAGUCCCAGCUGUCAGUGGCACCUGCAUAAUGACACGUCUGCGUUUCCCCACAAUCGGUGUGCAGCGGUUUUGGGAGGAGGAAUGUGACUGCAUGGCGUGCUCGCUGCAACCUCAGUCUGCAGCCUGCUAGGGACGCAUGGCCACACUCCUGUCUUUGAGGUGCUGUCAGAACAGCUUUCUCCUCGGUAUGCCGCCGGGUUUGACUGGCUAGUGGGCUUGCUUUGGUUUGGACUCACCCAGAUCUAGUGCAGGGACACACACAGGGGGCCGGCACUGCUCCUUUCCGCCAUGUGGAGUUGGCCGGGGCCAGAGGCACACGCUCUGGUUUGGACAGCCUGGCCCUGGGGGCUGGAAUAGGAAAUGCCCGCGUCCCUUUCCCCUGCCCAGGGGCAACACCCCCAGCCUAGCUACGGCUUCCCCCAGGUGAACGAGGUGGUCUUCGGCCCCGGCGAGGCCCAUUGCGCCACGUGCAGUGAGGAUGGGAGUGUGCGGGUGUGGGCCUUGGCCAGCAUGGAGCUUGUGAUCCAGUUCCAGGUGCUCAACCAGAGCUGUCUCUGCCUGGCAUGGAGCCCCCCGUGCUGUGGCCGCCCUGAGCAGCAGCGGCUAGCGGCAGGCUAUGGUGAUGGCUCCCUGCGCAUCUUCAGCGUCUCCCGCACGGCCAUGGAGCUCAAGAUGCACCCCCACCCGGUGGCACUGACCGCUGUUGCCUUCUCCACCGAUGGUCAGACUGUCCUCUCUGGAGACAAGGAUGGGCUCGUGGCUGUGAGCCACCCCCGCACAGGGACCACCUUCCGUGUGCUGAGUGACCACCAGGGCGCCCCAAUCUCUACCAUCUGUGUCACGUGCAAAGAGUGUGAAGACUUAGGGGUGGAGGGCACAGACCUAUGGCUGGCUGCCAGUGGGGACCAGCGGGUCAGCGUCUGGGCCUCCGACUGGCUGCGGAACCGCUGUGACCUCGUGGACUGGUUGAGUUUCCCAAUGCCUGCCACCACGGAGGUAAACCAUGCUCCUGGCACUGUGGGUGGGGCUAGUACCCAUCCACCCCACCACAGCAUGCUGCGUCUCUGCAGACUCAGGGCCACCUGCCACCCUCCCUCGCUGCCUUCUGCCCUUGGGAUGGGGCGCUACUGAUGUACGUGGGCCCCGGUGUUUACAAGGAGGUGAUCAUCUACAACCUCUGCCAGAAGCAGGUGGUGGAGAAGAUACCACUGCCCUUUUUUGCCAUGUCCCUGAGCCUGUCCCCCGGGAGCUACCUCCUGGCUGUUGGCUUUGCUGAGUGCAUGCUGAGGCUGGUAGACUGUGCCACAGGGACUGCCCAGGACUUUGCCGGCCACGACAAUGCAGUGCACCUGUGCAGGUUUACACCGUCCGCCAGGCUGCUCUUCACCGCCGCCCGCAACGAGAUCCUGGUGUGGGAGGUCCCUGGCCGCUGAGAUGCAGCAGGGACUGUGGUGCUGGGCAUCACGGCUGGUCACGUCAGGCACCUGGACACAGGCUUGGCAGAGAAGCCAGGCUGUCAAUGGCCUCAUGCUGGGACAGGCCAGGAUUCACGUAAAUUGCCUGGAACAAGCUGUUGUAAAUUUGGCGACCUGAAAAUACUUUAAUACCUGUUGCUCUUUUGCCUAAGAAAUUUUUAAUGUUUCUAUCUUGUAAUAAACAUGGGCAUUUAUUGC
rnacentral:sRNA from 1 species